rnacentral:rRNA from 1 species
AUUGAACGCUGGCGGCAGGCCUAACACAUGCAAGUCGAGCGGAUGAAGGGAGCUUGCUCCUGGAUUCAGCGGCGGACGGGUGAGUAAUGCCUAGGAAUCUGCCUGGUAGUGGGGGAUAACGUCCGGAAACGGGCGCUAAUACCGCAUACGUCCUGAGGGAGAAAGUGGGGGAUCUUCGGACCUCACGCUAUCAGAUGAGCCUAGGUCGGAUUAGCUAGUUGGUGGGGUAAAGGCCUACCAAGGCGACGAUCCGUAACUGGUCUGAGUGGAUGAUCAGUCACACUGGAACUAAGACACGGUCCAGACUCCUACGGGAGGCAGCAGUGGGGAAUAUUGGACAAUGGGCGAAAGCCUGAUCCAGCCAUGCCGCGUGUGUGAAGAAGGUCUUCGGAUUGUAAAGCACUUUAAGUUGGGAGGAAGGGCAGUAAGUUAAUACCUUGCUGUUUUGACGUUACCAACAGAAUAAGCACCGGCUAACUUCGUG